AUUCUGAAAUUAGAAACCAGUUUCACGCGUUUCACUAUGUUCUUUCAUUUUCUAAACCCUAAACUACCAUGAAGGAAAACAAAAUAUCAAGUUCUUCACAUCCCACCCAAAUCACUCUCGAAUUCUCCGAUUGUCUCUGAAAUCUGCACAACCGAACAAGGAAACCAAAACCAAUUUUGUUAUGCCGAUUUUUGCACCGAAACCAAAACAAUCAAUCCUCUUGUUAUCCCUGAAUUUCUGCCGAAAAUGAGGGAAGCCAAAAUCAAUUUGGCUUAUGUUUUAUUGUGCAACAAAAUACAAAAUCCUAAUUUGGUUGCUUCUGAUUCCUGCCGCAAGCUAAGGAGACGACAUCAUCGAGGUACCUUUCUAGUUGAUAGCUGCGAAUCGAUCACGGCUCUUUGAAGCGUCUUGUUGUUUGUUUGCAGAUCGGUACCGGUCGGAAAGGAUGGGUUAGCGGAGGUGAUUAGAGGUUUUAAGGAUGUUUAUUGAGCUGAGCACGUUGGAAUUUGUAGAUUUGUAAUAGGAUUUUGGAUAAAUGUAUAUUAGUCUUGGUUGUGUUGGUUAUAUUGGAAUCUAAGUGAAUUGUAUGAUUACUUGUGUUUUAGUUAGAUGUUUGGUUUGAGAAUUAGCUGAGUUAGUUACAUUGAAAAGCUGGUGUCCCCUUUGCUCAAGUUUUAGAAGUGUGAUUUCAGUUUUUGGGAAACGAAUCCAGUGAUGACUAUGUUUACCCAGUCUUACAAAUAGAAUCUUGUUUGAAUCGCCUAAUCUCAUACUUUCAUAAUAUUAACUUUUUAUAUAUUUAAGAUGUGUAUAAUUAAUUCAACAUAUAAAUAAACAAAAUAAUACAUUAAAUUGUAUAAAAAAUCAAAUAUAGCAACUAUAAUGAAACGGAGUAAAUAUGUAGUAGUAGUAAGGAGGAAAU